UGUUAAAGAGCUCGAAUUAGAGAUGUUUGAUGCAUAUGGCAAUCAUGUUGUGGGAGGCUUGGAAGUUCAGUUGGAUGUUGAGGGAUUUGAGAUGCUAGAUCAACUGGGCCCGAGGCAUAAAAGUUGACAAACUGGUCUACACCUUUGUAUUUGAGAAGAAGGAGAUGGAGAUAGGGAUGGUGGUCUGAACGGAGGCCUGCCUGAUUGAGAGUCAGAGUUGCCACGACCAACAACAUAGGGAUUCCAAUAGGAACUGUGACCAGGAUUAGAACCUGAACUGGGGGAAAACAAGAUUCAGUGGCACGGUCAUAACCAGAUUGAGAAGAACUUCCAGGCUUUCUAUAGGCACCAUUAGCUUGAGGACUGGAAUCAAGAUCCCUAGAAUGCUUUUCAAGAUGACUCUCUUGAGAUAACAUCAAAGAUUCAAUUCUGGCCACAGUGUAAGAAGAUUGGUGUGAGUUUAUAGAGAUAACAAACACAUCAUAAUCAGAUGGUAAAUCAUUAAAAAUGGCUUUGAUAUAUUCUUUGGGAGUGGUGGUGUGACUAACAGAGCUAAGUUGAUGUACAAGAAACUUAAUCUUGAGGAGAUAGUCAUUCAAAGAAAGAGAGCCUUUCUUGAGAUUCUGUAACUAAGUCUGAUACUGAUCAAGCUUAGCUUUAGUUUGAGUAGUAAAAUAGCAAUCAAGAACAGACCAAACCUGAGCAGAGGUUUAAGAUCCAACCACUCGAGUGAGAAUACUCUCCGUCAUAGAUGAAAGAAGCCACGAGUAAAUGAGAUUAUCCUAUUACUUCCACUGAACAUAGGCCGUGUUAACAUUCUUAGCAGUACGAUCUGCAUCCGUGAGGUACUGCAAUGGCGGCUGAUACUUAGGAUCAAUGUAAUCCUCAAGCAUGUGACCACGAAUAGCUGCAAGAAUUUGAGGUCGCCACAGUAAGAAGUUAUGACUAUUGAGCUUAAUAGAGAGAUUGUGCGAGAACACAACGGGAGCAAAUGUAACGCCCUACCACCCAGGGACCGUUACGUUGUGCAUUUUAAACAGUGAUAAACUCGCUAACCGAGCCAUUUGUCCAUAAUUGUGUAACUAAGUGUGAUUAACGGUUUAGGCUUAAAAUUUUUGGUCAAAGAUACAACGUUUCACUAAAAUGUUUACUGUAUACAUUGGGAUCCUGAAAAUAUUUUUUAAAGGUUAAUUACAAUAAAAUAUUUACAACCAGCCGACCUAAGCGGCAAAAUAGGGUUUAUCCCUAGUUCCUCUUUAAA